rnacentral:rRNA from 1 species
UACGGAGGGUGCAAGCGUUAUCCGGAUUCACUGGGUUUAAAGGGUGCGUAGGUGGGCAGGUAAGUCAGUGGUGAAAUCUCCGGGCUUAACCCGGAAACUGCCGUUGAUACUAUCUGUCUUGAAUGUAGUGGAGGUGAGCGGAAUAUGUCAUGUAGCGGUGAAAUGCUUAGAUAUGACAUAGAACACCAAUUGCGAAGGCAGCUCACUACACGAAUAUUGACACUGAGGCACGAAAGCGUGGGGAUCAAACAGG